UAAUUGACUUAGUAUUUAUGGUUCAGUGGUUUCCUUUAUUUGAAUAAUUGAGAUUUUGUGAAUGUAAUAAGGAUUUAUGGAUUUCUUAUGAAAUGGAAAUGGUUCUCUACCCCUCGUGGUAGCGCGUUUUUAAAAGAAAAAAAUUUCCGGGUGGAAAACGGUGUUAAAAAGAUUUUCUUAGUUUCCAUGACUUAGUGUUUCAAAAUAAGUUUUCGGGCAGGAAACAUUUUAAACUAAUAGAUGUGGAUAUGUAAAUAUUUGUGAUGAAAUAAAUGUGGAUGUGAAUGGUGAAUGUAUAUGGAUAUGCAUAUGUGUGUGGUUGUAUCUUGUACUUCUACGACACUGUGCAAAUACAGGGGAGACUCUGUUCGUGUGAACAGUGGACUCCCUAUAUUUGUGGUGGAUCU
rnacentral:lncRNA from 1 species